GACGAACGCUGGCGGCGUGCUUAACACAUGCAAGUCGAACGGAAAGGCGCUGCGUUUGUUGGGUGCUCGAUUGGCGAACGGGUGAGUAACACGUGAGUAACCUGCCCUUGACUUUGGGAUAACUUCAGGGAACUGGGGCUAAUACCGGGUAUGAGCUCCUGCUGCAUGGUGGUGGUUGGAAAGUGUCGGCGGUUGGGGCUGGACUCGCUGCUUAUCAGCUUGUUGGUGAGGUAGUGGCGUACCAAGGCUUUGACGGGUAGCCGGCAUGAGAGGGUGAACGGGCACCUUGGGACUGCGAUAGGGAGCAGAAUCGUACGGGCGGCAGCAGUCGGGAAUAUUGCGCAACGGGCCGAAGCCAGAUGCAGAAACGCCGCGUGCGGGAUGACGGCCUUCGGGUUGUAAACCGAUUUCGCAUGUGACGAAGCCUGCGUGACGGUAAUGGGUCAAGAAGCACCGGCUAACUACGUG
rnacentral:rRNA from 1 species